AUGUCUCUUCUUUGUGCUGUCAAGGACGCUGCACCUCCCAUGUGGAUACGCUUCUCCUCUCAACAAUAAAAUUGCUUCGACAACGGAACGUGAACGGCCUUUAGGUCACAGAGAGAGAGAGAGUUGAAUCCUUCAUCGAUCAGUAUGGAGAAGGAUAAGAAAUAGAAGAAAUGGAGUGGUUUUGGCCGGAGAAGAACAACGGUGGAGUUAUUUUGGAGACGGAGGAUGUGGCGGCCAAACAUUUAUCUAGAGAAGGGACAAUGAGUCAUUAUAGUUUCAGCAAAGGUCUUCUUCCGCCGCUCGGAGUCGGAGCCGCCGGUCGUUCUAACCGUCAUAUUAAGCUCUGUUGCCUCAUCGUCUCUCCCUUCGAUCCUCGCUACAGAGCGUGGGAUCCUCCGUUUCUGGCCUGCUCGAAACGUGAAAAAAGCUGGACAACUCAUGGGGGUUGAUUUCCUUCUGAUUGACGAAAAGUCUACUUUGAUGCAAGGCUCCAUUUACGUCACCCACCUUCCCAAAUUCGAACACGCUCUGCGUGAUGGGGCUUUGUAUAAAAACAAAAGAGGUUGUUUCUUCCGUCUUCAGUGGAGAGGAAGGUUCAGAGGAAUGAUAGUACACGAUCAAGCCAAACAAGAAACAACACGGUUUGAGAAGACGAUACAAAAGGAUGAUGUAAUGAUUGAGAGACUCAAUUCGAAGCUUCUUAUUGCGAAUGAUCAGUUAGAAGCAGUAUCUGCAGCUGAAGAAAGAAUCAGCUCUCUUGCUGACAAUUUAACUACUUCACUUGAGAAGCUAAAGAAUGAUAAAGAAGCUACAAAGAAAGAGGGGCUUGAGCUAAAAGAAGAAGCAACGGUCAUCAAGAGUGAAGUACAGAACACAAAAAUAGGAAUUGGUGAAAAGGAGAGAGUUGCUUUCAAAGUUAGAUGAGCUUGAGAAAGCUAAGCACGCAGAGGCUUUAGCUCUCGAGAAGCUCGAGUCUAUAGCAGAGAAGACAAUGGAAACUCGGGAAAUGGAAUCUCAGAGAAGUUCAACCAUCACAAUCUCAAGAUUUGAGUACGAGUAUUUGAGUGGACAAGCUUGUCACUCGAAAGAAACUGCAGAGAAAAAAGUGGAAGCUGCAAUGGCGUGGGUUGAAGCACUCAAGGCUAGCACUAACGCGAUUUUGUUAAGGACGGAAUCUUUAAAGAGAGUGAGUGGGAAAACAAUAGUGGAAGAAGAAAGGGCAUCGUUCAGGAUGCAUAGGUCGCUAUCGAUAAAGAGACUGGUCCAAAAUGAGAUUCAAAAGUUCAAGCAGAAGUCAGAAGACUAUGGCGUGAUCAGGUCUCCUAAACCUAUAAGAAAAUCGCUUCAAAGUCACAAAGAGAACUCAGGAGACAAAGGCUUGAUCAACUCUCCUAGACCGGUAAGAAAAUCGGCAAGGCUGAGCGGGAAGUUCACACCGGUUCCGGGAGGGAAGUCGAGAAGAUACUCAUCAGGGAACAGAGCGACUCCAACGUUCUUUGUAAUCAAGAAGAAGAAGAAAGUUCCAAGCUUGGUUAAAUUAUAUAGCAGGAAAAGGCGCUUCUCCGCAUGAAUCACUUUAAAAGAAAAAAAAAAAAGAGGAUUUUCGUCGCUAUGUGGGGUUUAACAAAGAAAAAGGAUGAGAGGUGGUGAUACAGUCAUUAUAAAAGUUUAUCUGCACUAUUUAUAUGUGAUCAAGGGAUGGGGAAAAACAUAGGCAGCGAGCAAGCAUGUGAUUUUUUUUACCAGAUGGGUCUGACUUCUGAGAAUAUAUACACACAAACUAAUAUUGUGCAC